GUUAGGAAUAUUGGACAAUGGGCGCAAGCCUGAUCCAGCCAUGCCGCGUGAGUGAUGAAGGCCUUCGGGUUGUAAAGCUCUUUAGCCGAUGAUUAUAAUGACUGUAGUCGGAAAAUAAGCCCCGGCUAACUUCGUGCCAGCAGCCGCGGUAAUACGAAGGGGGCGAGCGUUAUUCGGAAUCACUGGGCGUAAAGCGUGCGUAGGCGGCUUUGCAAGUUGGGAGUGAAAGCCCAGGGCUCAACCCUGGAAUUGCUCUCAAAACUACAAGACUUGAAUUCGGGAGAGGAUAGCGGAAUUGUCAGUGUAGCAGUGAAAUGCGUAGAUAUUGACAGGAACACCAGUGGCGUAAGCGGCUAUCUGGACCGACAUUGACGCUGAGGCACGAAAGCGUGGGGAUCAAACAGGAUUAGAUACCCUUGUAGUCC
rnacentral:rRNA from 1 species